rnacentral:rRNA from 1 species
CUUGACGACCAUAGAGCAUUGGAACCACCUGAUCCCAUCCCGAACUCAGCAGUGAAACGAUGCAUCGCCGAUGGUAGUGUGGGGGUUCCCCAUGUGAGAGGAGGUCAUCGUCAAGA